AGACCCAGAACGGCGGCUCAUCAGCCGGGACUCACUGAAGAUCAUUCUAACGCAGCGUGGAACCAACCCGAUAGACGACGAGCAGGCCGAUGAGUUUCUCAACGAGUUUGACACCAACGGGGACGGGAUGUACGAUAUACAAGAGAUCACGGAGAUAAUGUACGCCAUGGAAGACCAACCGCC